rnacentral:rRNA from 1 species
GACGAACGCUGGCGGCGUGCUUAACACAUGCAAGUCGAACGGAAAGGCCUUUUCGGAGGUACUCGAGUGGCGAACGGGUGAGUAACACGUGGGUGAUCUGCCCUGCACUCUGGGAUAAGCCUGGGAAACUGGGUCUAAUACCGGAUAGGACCGCACUUUAGUGUGUGUGGUGGAAAGUUUUUUCGGUGUGGGAUGAGCCCGCGGCCUAUCAGCUUGUUGGUGGGGUAAUGGCCUACCAAGGCGGCGACGGGUAGCCGGACUGAGAGGUUGGUCGGCCACAUUGGGACUGAGAUACGGCCCAGACUCCUACGGGAGGCAGCAGUGGGGAAUAUUGCACAAUGGGCGCAAGCCUGAUGCAGCGACGCCGCGUGGGGGAUGACGGCCUUCGGGUUGUAAACUCCUUUCGCCAGGGACGAAGCGUUUUGUGACGGUACCUGGAGAAGAAGCACCGGCUAACUACGUG